AGACCAAAAAAUACCGAUUUUGAAAAUUGAAAAAAUGAUGUUUAAAACAGAAAACACCUAUGGAAACCGCUUGUUAUCGUUACUUACACCUUUUCUUAACAAAGUGGUACCAUAAUUAACAAGAUAAAAUGUUGCGACGAAUAGCGACAAGCAUUUUAAUGUUUCGGGGAUUUCCGGUAAAUGUCGUUAAUUUACGUUGCAUGUCGAACGUUGCCGAAGUAUGAUCGUAGGAUUUCCAAGAGUUAUGUUUCUUGAUGACUCUCCGUUUUGGAGAAACGUGAGCGUGCGAGAGUUGAACAGCUGAUACGCUACAGAGAGAGAGAGAAAAAAAAGCUAUCGUCUUUAGCAUGUGAGUUAAGAAGGAACACGAAAAAAGUUAAAUGGGAAAUUGUUUAUAUAUGAUAUUUGUUUCAUUCAGUACAUUUUUUAUGACAUGACACUAUCUUUUUUAUCAUAUUUCCAUAUACUUUCAUUAGUAACUAGCCCCGCCCACUAUUUCAGUUAUGUUCUAAAGUAAAAAAAAAUAUUUAAGACCGUUUUAAAUAAUAUUUUAAUAAACUUGAAAUAAACAAAUUUGAUGACAUUUGAAAUAUUUUUUCUAACAGGAGCGGGAGUGAAAAAUUGGAAGUUAUUGUAAUUUCUUCAGAAAGUGACUCGGACACAUCGAUAAAUCCCUCACAGUCAUUAUUUAAAAAUUAUAAGAAAGUAAACCGUGUGAACAAAAAUCAGUCGCCUUUGUAUGAAGAAGAAAGCGACAGUACCCAGCCACCUUCAGACAUUUCAACCCAGCCACCUUCAGAUACUGACAUCAACAAUAAUUUGAAUAGAUACAGUACAGAUGAGGAUGAUGAUGAAGAAAUAUUUGUAGUUUCUUUGACAAAAGAGGAAAUUGAAAACAGAGAUUUGGUUCCAGAUUCAUACUGUCCAUCUUGUGGAGCGUUAAGAUAUAUCAAAAGACCUGCACUGCAGACUGAAAUACAUCAAAGCAACAGUGACAGUGCAUAGAAAGUUACUUGUAGCAAAAUAAAAGGUACCAGGAUAUCCAUCUUGGUUCAAUGUCAAAUUUAAUGGUGAUCGGGCAGUAUAUACAUAUGAGCUAUUGAAGGAUCUCAAGAACAAGGAUCUCAUUAUCAAACCGUGACAGAAGUAGGUUUAUUAAUUGAACUUAUCUUACAUCACAUAUCAGUGUGAUAGAAAAUUUAUUGUAUUCAUUUAUGGUUUUGAUUUUUUACCAUGAUUUUUCUCAGAUGAUUAAUUAACUACAUGUUAUGUUUGACAUUAAAAAAAUAAUCAAUCAAGGCAAAUGAUUUUUUGACCUCUCAUCCCUUUUUUGUAAUAAAUAUGAAUUCAAAGGUCCAGUUUCAAGUAAACACAUUUGACAGUAAUUGAGAAAUUGACAUAUUCAAACAUAAAAAUUAUAUAUAAGCAGAUGGGCAUGUAAC